CAGGCUGCAACCCGCCUGCAUGAAGUCGGAAUUGCUAGUAAUCGCGGAUCAGCAUGCCGCGGUGAAUACGUUCCCGGGCCUUGUACACACCGCCCGUCACACCAUGGGAGCCGGUAAUACCCGAAGUCAGUAGUCCAACCUCGUGAGGACGCUGCCGAAGGUAGGAUUGGCGACUGGGGUGAAGUCGUAACAAGGUAUC
rnacentral:rRNA from 1 species